GAUGAACGCUAGCUACAGGCUUAACACAUGCAAGUCGAGGGGCAGCGGUAUCGAAAGCUUGCUUUCGGUAGCCGGCGACCGGCGCACGGGUGAGUAACGCGUAUCGAACCUGCCUCAUACUCGGGAAUAGCCUUGCGAAAGUAAGAUUAAUGCCCGGUGUUUUCAGAGUCCCGCAUGAGGCUUCGAACAAAGAUUUAUCGGUGUGAGAUGGCGAUGCGUCCCAUUAGCUUGUUGGCGGGGUAACGGCCCACCAAGGCAUCGAUGGGUAGGGGUUCUGAGAGGAAGGUCCCCCACAUUGGAACUGAGACACGGUCCAAACUCCUACGGGAGGCAGCAGUGAGGAAUAUUGGUCAAUGGGCGGAAGCCUGAACCAGCCAGUAGCGUGCAGGAAGACGGCCCUCCGGGUUGUAAACUGCUUUUAGUUGGGAAUAAAACGGGGCUCGUGAGCCCCCUUGCUUGUACCAUCAGAAAAAGGACCGGCUAAUUCCGUGCCAGCCGCCGCGGUAA
rnacentral:rRNA from 1 species